rnacentral:rRNA from 1 species
GUAAAAAGUAGAAUAAUAGAUUUGAAAUAUUUAUUAUAUAGAUUUAAAGAGAUAAUCAUGGAGUAUAAUAAUUAAAUUUAAUAAAUUUAAUAUAACUAUUAAUAGAAUUAGGUUACUAAUAAAUUAAUAACAAUUAAUUUUAAAACCUAAAGGUAAACCUUUAUAUUAAUAAUGUUAUUUUUUAUUAUUUUUUAUAAUAAGAAUAAUUAUUAAUAAUAAUAAACUAAGUGAACUGAAACAUCUAAGUAACUUAAGGAUAAGAAAUCAACAGAGAUAUUAUGAGUAUUGGUGAGAGAAAAUAAUAAAGGUCUAAUAAGUAUUAUGUGAAAAAAAUGUAAGAAAAUAGGAUAACAAAUUCUAAGACUAAAUACUAUUAAUAAGUAUAGUAAGUACCGUAAGGGAAAGUAUGAAAAUGAUUAUUUUAUAAGCAAUCAUGAAUAUAUUAUAUUAUAUUAAUGAUGUACCUUUUGUAUAAUGGGUCAGCAAGUAAUUAAUAUUAGUAAAACAAUAAGUUAUAAAUAAAUAGAAUAAUAUAUAUAUAUAUAAAAAUAUAUUAAAAUAUUUAAUUAAUAUUAAUUGACCCGAAAGCAAACGAUCUAACUAUGAUAAGAUGGAUAAACGAUCGAACAGGUUGAUGUUGCAAUAUCAUCUGAUUAAUUGUGGUUAGUAGUGAAAGACAAAUCUGGUUUGCAGAUAGCUGGUUUUCUAUGAAAUAUAUGUAAGUAUAGCCUUUAUAAAUAAUAAUUAUUAUAUAAUAUUAUAUUAAUAUUAUAUAAAGAAUGGUACAGCAAUUAAUAUAUAUUAGGGAACUAUUAAAGUUUUAUUAAUAAUAUUAAAUCUCGAAAUAUUUAAUUAUAUAUAAUAAAGAGUCAGAUUAUGUGCGAUAAGGUAAAUAAUCUAAAGGGAAACAGCCCAGAUUAAGAUAUAAAGUUCCUAAUAAAUAAUAAGUGAAAUAAAUAUUAAAAUAUUAUAAUAUAAUCAGUUAAUGGGUUUGACAAUAACCAUUUUUUAAUGAACAUGUAACAAUGCACUGAUUUAUAAUAAAUAAAAAAAAAAUAAUAUUUAAAAUCAAAUAUAUAUAUAUUUGUUAAUAGAUAAUAUACGGAUCUUAAUAAUAAGAAUUAUUUAAUUCCUAAUAUGGAAUAUUAUAUUUUUAUAAUAAAAAUAUAAAUACUGAAUAUCUAAAUAUUAUUAUUACUUUUUUUUUUUAAUAAUAAUAAUAUGGUAAUAGAACAUUUAAUGAUAAUAUAUAUUAGUUAUUAAUUAAUAUAUGUAUUAAUUAAAUAGAGAAUGCUGACAUGAGUAACGAAAAAAAGGUAUAAACCUUUUCACCUAAAACAUAAGGUUUAACUAUAAAAGUACGGCCCCUAAUUAAAUUAAUAAGAAUAUAAAUAUAUUUAAGAUGGGAUAAUCUAUAUUAAUAAAAAUUUAUCUUAAAAUAUAUAUAUUAUUAAUAAUUAUAUUAAUAAUAUAUAUAAUUAUAUUAUAUAUUUUUUUUUAUAUAAUAUAAACUAAUAAAGAUCAGGAAAUAAUUAAUGUAUACCGUAAUGUAGACCGACUCAGGUAUGUAAGUAGAGAAUAUGAAGGUGAAUUAGAUAAUUAAAGGGAAGGAACUCGGCAAAGAUAGCUCAUAAGUUAGUCAAUAAAGAGUAAUAAGAACAAAGUUGUACAACUGUUUACUAAAAACACCGCACUUUGCAGAAACGAUAAGUUUAAGUAUAAGGUGUGAACUCUGCUCCAUGCUUAAUAUAUAAAUAAAAUUAUUUAACGAUAAUUUUAUUAAAUUUAGGUAAAUAGCAGCCUUAUUAUGAGGGUUAUAAUGUAGCGAAAUUCCUUGGCCUAUAAUUGAGGUCCCGCAUGAAUGACGUAAUGAUACAACAACUGUCUCCCCUUUAAGCUAAGUGAAAUUGAAAUCGUAGUGAAGAUGCUAUGUACCUUCAGCAAGACGGAAAGACCCUAUGCAGCUUUACUGUAAUUAGAUAGAUCGAAUUAUUGUUUAUUAUAUUCAGCAUAUUAAGUAAUCCUAUUAUUAGGUAAUCGUUUAGAUAUUAAUGAGAUACUUAUUAUAAUAUAAUGAUAAUUCUAAUCUUAUAAAUAAUUAUUAUUAUUAUUAUUAAUAAUAAUAAUAUGCUUUCAAGCAUAGUGAUAAAACAUAUUUAUAUGAUAAUCACUUUACUUAAUAGAUAUAAUUCUUAAGUAAUAUAUAAUAUAUAUUUUAUAUAUAUUAUAUAUAAUAUAAGAGACAAUCUCUAAUUGGUAGUUUUGAUGGGGCGUCAUUAUCAGCAAAAGUAUCUGAAUAAGUCCAUAAAUAAAUAUAUAAAAUUAUUGAAUAAAAAAAUAAUAUAUAUUAUAUAUAUUAAUUAUAAAUUGAAAUAUGUUUAUAUAAAUUUAUAUUUAUUGAAUAUAUUUUAGUAAUAGAUAAAAAUAUGUACAGUAAAAUUGUAAGGAAAACAAUAAUAACUUUCUUAAAAAAUAAAAAUGGAAAGAAUUAAAUUAAUAUAAUGGUAUAACUGUGCGAUAAUUGUAACACAAACGAGUGAAACAAGUACGUAAGUAUGGCAUAAUGAACAAAUAACACUGAUUGUAAAGGUUAUUGAUAACGAAUAAAAGUUACGCUAGGGAUAACAGGGUAAUAUAGCGAAAGAGUAGAUAUUGUAAGCUAUGUUUGCCACCUCGAUGUCGACUCAACAUUUCCUCUUGGUUGUAAAAGCUAAGAAGGGUUUGACUGUUCGUCAAUUAAAAUGUUACGUGAGUUGGGUUAAAUACGAUGUGAAUCAGUAUGGUUCCUAUCUGCUGAAGGAAAUAUUAUCAAAUUAAAUCUCAUUAUUAGUACGCAAGGACCAUAAUGAAUCAACCCAUGGUGUAUCUAUUGAUAAUAAUAUAAUAUAUUUAAUAAAAAUAAUACUUUAUUAAUAUAUUAUCUAUAUUAGUUUAUAUUUUAAUUAUAUAUUAUCAUAGUAGAUAAGCUAAGUUGAUAAUAAAUAAAUAUUGAAUACAUAUUAAAUAUGAAGUUGUUUUAAUAAGAUAAUUAAUCUGAUAAUUUUAUACUAAAAUUAAUAAUUAUAGGUUUUAUAUAUUAUUUAUAAAUAAAUAUAUUAUAAUAAUAAUAAUUAUUAUUAUUAAUAAAAAAUAUUAAUUAUAAUAUUAAUAAAAUACUAAUUUAUCAGUUAUCUAUAUAAUAUCUAAUCUAUUAUUCUAUAUACU